GGACCCCUAGCUCAGCGGUAGAGCGUGAGAUUCCAGUCCUCAAGGUCAUCCGUUCAAUCCGGGUGGGGUUCA
rnacentral:tRNA from 2 species